UACAGAGGUCCCAAGCGUUGUUCGGAUUCAUUGGGCGUAAAGGGUGCGUAGGCGGCGCGGUAAGUCGGGUGUGAAAUCUCGGGGCUUAACUCCGAAACUGCAUUCGAUACUGCCGUGCUUGAGGACUGGAGAGGAGACUGGAAUUUACGGUGUAGCGGUGAAAUGCGUAGAUAUCGUAAGGAAGACCAGUGGCGAAGGCGGGUCUCUGGACAGUUCCUGACGCUGGGGCACGAAGGCCAGGGGAGCAAACGGG
rnacentral:rRNA from 1 species